GAUGAACGCUGGCGGCGUGCCUAAUACAUGCAAGUCGAGCGAACGGACGAGAAGCUUGCUUCUCUGAUGUUAGCGGCGGACGGGUGAGUAACACGUGGAUAACCUACCUAUAAGACUGGGAUAACUUCGGGAAACCGGAGCUAAUACCGGAUAAUAUUUUGAACCGCAUGGUUCAAAAGUGAAAGACGGUCUUGCUGUCACUUAUAGAUGGAUCCGCGCUGCAUUAGCUAGUUGGUAAGGUAACGGCAUACCAAGGCAACGAUGCAUAGCCGACCUGAGAGGGUGAACGGCCACACUGGAACUGAGACACGGUCCAGACUGCUACGGGAGGCAGCAGUAGGGAAUCUUCCGCAAUGGGCGAAAGCCUGACGGAGCAACGCCGAGUGAGUGAUGAAGGUCUUCGGAGCGUAAAACUCUGUUAUUAGGGAAGAACAUAUGUGUAAGUAACUGUGCACAUCUUGACGGUACCUAAUCAGAAAGCCACGGCUAACUACGUG
rnacentral:rRNA from 1 species